AGUGAACGCUGGCGGUAGGCCUAACACAUGCAAGUCGAACGGCAGCACAGUAAGAGCUUGCUCUUACGGGUGGCGAGUGGCGGACGAGUGAGGAAUACAUCGGAAUCUACUUUUUCGUGGGGGAUAACGUAGGGAAACUUACGCUAAUACCGCAUACGACCUACGGGUGAAAGCAGGGGAUCUUCGGACCUUGCGCGAUUGAAUGAGCCGAUGUCGGAUUAGCUAGUUGGCGGGGUAAAGGCCCACCAAGGCGACGAUCCGUAGCUGGUCUGAGAGGACGAUCAGCCACACUGGAACUGAGACACGGUCCAGACUCCUACGGGAGGCAGCAGUGGGGAAUAUUGGACAAUGGGCGCAAGCCUGAUCCAGCCAUACCGCGUGGGUGAAGAAGGCCUUCGGGUUGUAAAGCCCUUUUGUUGGGAAAGAAAAGCAGCAGGUUAAUACCCCGCUGUUCUGACGGUACCCAAAGAAUAAGCACCGGCUAACUUCGUG
rnacentral:rRNA from 1 species